rnacentral:lncRNA from 1 species
UCAAGAUCAACCAACUAGGUUGCAUUUAUUAAAUAAACUCAACAUAUCCAUCAUCGUACCAUUACAUUGACAAUUAUAAGUGCUACAGUCAGUUAAGAGCAAGAUCAAAAUAAUGAUAGUCAUGGCAUGAGAUCGCAGCAUAGUACUAAUAGGUCAAUGUUAUUAACAAUAUUAUUACUAAUAGGUCAAUGUUAUUAACAAUAUUAUUAUUAGUAUGGUAAUAUGUAAACAAGACAUGGCAUUAGACGAAGAGUAAUGCUAAUAGCUAAUACCGAUGUCAUCACAUGUAUAUGCAAAUGCAGACUAACAAGUGUUACAGAUAAACACACAGGGUGCAAGCGAAGUUAUCACGCAAGUAUGAAGCUCAUGAUAAGAGGUUCGCUUGCCUGGGGUCGAUGAAUACACCGGGAAGAAGCACAAUAAAACGCCGGAAAGAUUUGCCAAAGAUGUUUCCUUCUCGAAAGUCUCAAUCGGAGGGCAAGGAAAAAAUGGUCAAUUUCCACUGUGUGGAAACAGUAUGGAAAUGGUACAUACAUGACGGGCUCGAAGAGAGGAAGGAGUGGGCGUUGGUUUUACCUCAAUCCGAGCUACGGUCGCGAAGAUACGAACGUUCAUUCGUUAGGCAGAAAUCAAAUAAAAACUUAUUCAUUUCUACUCUUAACCAAUGAACGUUCACAAUAUAAAGGGUUCGGCCGGCUGGGCUAAAACAGAAGGUGUAUUUUCGAAAAUACGCUUUUGGUAAACCGAAAUCGUACUUUCUAUAAUACGCUUCCACUUAUUCAAACGGGCCCGUGCGCUAUCUCACUUGCAGGGGGCCGCACCAUCUCUCUCUCUUCC